UGGCAGGAAGCAUAUCUUUAUGUAAUUCUUUGUAGGAUUGGAGAUGGGGUGGAGUGAAGCCCUGCCAUGGAGAUCACUGCACGAGAGCUCCUUCCUGGUGCUGGAUGUGCUCRUUCUCGCUGGCCAGGACACUGAGGAGCCACAAUGUGCAGGAGAAGGGAGAUCAAGCACAUCCGUGAAGAGGGUGGCUGGUUGGGAUCACAUCUGAGAAGCAGAAUAGUCACCAAGGAGCAGGUGUGAUGUCAUCCCCUCUGGCAGAGGAACCAGGAUGUCUACAACCUCCACUUCUCAAAAAGGCAGGAACUAAAGAUUUGAAGCCAACCAGGAAUGGUACAAGCUUGGCCAGGGACUCCAGGCUGUGGCUGGUGGGUCUGCGAGGCUUGAAGGCAGGAACACUGUGGCUUCCUGGGAACAUCACAAGCAAACAGUUGCCAGCAACUCCAGGUGCA